UACGGAGGGUGCAAGCGUUAUCCGGAUUCACUGGGUUUAAAGGGUGCGUAGGUGGGUUGGUAAGUCAGUGGUGAAAUCUCCAGGCUUAACUUGGAAACUGCCAUUGAUACUAUCAAUCUUGAAUACCGUGGAGGUCAGCGGAAUAUGUCAUGUAGCGGUGAAAUGCUUAGAUAUGACAUAGAACACCAAUUGCGAAGGCAGCUCACUACGGGAUCAUUGACACUGAGGCACGAAAGCGUGGGGAUCAAACAGG
rnacentral:rRNA from 1 species